GAUGAACGCUGGCGGCGUGCCUAAUACAUGCAAGUCGAGCGAACGGACGAGAAGCUUGCUUUUCUGAUGUUAGCGGCGGACGGGUGAGUAACACGUGGAUAACCUACCUAUAAGACUGGGAUAACCUCGGGAAACCGGAGCUAAUACCGGAUAAUAUUUUGCACCGCAUGGUUCAAAAGUGAAAGACGGUCUUGCUGUCACUUCUAGAUGGAUCCGCGCUGCAUUAGCUAGUUGGUAAGGUCACGGCUUACCAAGGCAACGAUGCAUAGCCGACCUGGGAGAGGGGUCGCCCACCUGGGAGCUGGGCCAGGGUCCAGGCGCCUGCGGGAGGCCGCAGUCGGGUAUCUUAGGCAGUAGGGGAGAGCAUGGCGCAGCGGGGCCGCGUGAGUUGUGGAGAUCUUCGGAUCGGGAAACUGUCUUAUGAGGUAAAAACCUAUGUGUAAGUAACUGUGGACAUCUUGACGGUACCUAAUCAGAAAGCCACGGCUAACUACGUG
rnacentral:rRNA from 1 species